GGAAUAUUGGUCAAUGGACGAGAGUCUGAACCAGCCAAGUAGCGUGCAGGAUGACGGCCCUAUGGGUUGUAAACUGCUUUUAUGCGGGGAUAAAGUGAGGGACGUGUCCCUUUUUGUAGGUACCGCAUGAAUAAGGACCGGCUAAUUCCGUGCCAGCAGCCGCGGUAAUACGGAAGGUCCGGGCGUUAUCCGGAUUUAUUGGGUUUAAAGGGAGCGCAGGCGGCCUUUUAAGCGUGACGUGAAAUGUAGGCGCUCAACGUCUGAAUUGCGUCGCGAACUGUUAGGCUUGAGUGAGUACGACGUCAGCGGAAUUCGUGGUGUAGCGGUGAAAUGCUUAGAUAUCACGAAGAACCCCGAUUGCGAAGGCAGCUGACGAGUCCUUUACUGACGCUAAAGCUCGAAGGUGCGGGUAUCGAACA
rnacentral:rRNA from 1 species